GCUGGGCGUGGUGACUCACGCCUGUAAAUCCCAGCACUUUAGGGGGCCGAGGCAGGCGGAUUGCCUGAGCCUGGGAAUUCGGGACCAGCCUGGGUAACAUGGCAAAACCCUGUCUCUACUAAAAAUACCAAAAAUUAGCUGGGCGUAGUGGUGAAUGUCUGUAAUCCCAGAUACUUGGGAGGCUGAGGUGGGAGAAUCGCUUGAACCUGCGAGGUGGAUGUUGCAGUGAGCUGAGAUAGUGCCACUGCACUCCAGCCUGGGCGACAGAGUGAGACUCUGUCUCA
rnacentral:sRNA from 1 species